rnacentral:rRNA from 1 species
CAGCCGCCGCGGUAAUACGAAGGGUGCAAGCGUUACUCGGAAUUACUAGGCGUAAAGCGCGCGUAGGUGGUUUGUUAAGUUGGAUGUGAAAUCCCCGGGCUCAACCUGGGAACUGCAUUCAAAACUGACUGACUAGAGUAUGGUAGAGGGUGGUGGAAUUUCCGGUGUAGCAGUGAAAUGCGUAGAGAUCGGAAGGAACAUUUGUGGCGAAGGCGACUAUCUGGGCCAACACUGACACUGAGGCACGAAAGCGUGGGGAGCAAACAGGAUUAGAUACCCCAGUAGUCCCUGUCUCUUAUAC